CCACAGGGUAAAGAGAGGUCCUUACAGCCCUGCCCACAGACGCCUCCCCACAUUCACCUCAAAUGCAGACUUCGUGCUCAGGCACACUUCCUUCUACACUCACAUCAAACCCGGAGGGAAGGCAAGGGAAUGUGCAAAGACAAUGGGAAGGAAAGGGAAAGAGAAGGGAAGGCAAGGAAAAGAAAGGAAAAGAAGAAAGGAAAGAGCAGACCCAGCGGAGCACUUUUUAAGGGAAAUCUGAUGACCUUUCUUUUGAAGAGCUCCCGACGUGGCAUGUUUCUGGCACGCGGACCUGAAGUUUGGCAAAAGGAGGAGCAGGGAAGGCCUUUGGUUGAGUCCAGACUCACCCUCUGCUGCUGCCGAAUCGGCCAAGCCUUUGAUAUAA
ensembl:lncRNA